rnacentral:rRNA from 1 species
CCUACGGGUGGCAGCAGUGAGGAAUAUUGGUCAAUGGGCGCGAGCCUGAACCAGCCAAGUAGCGUGAAGGAUGACUGCCCUACGGGUUGUAAACUUCUUUUAUAAAGGAAUAAAGUGAGGCACGUGUGCCUUUUUGUAUGUACUUUAUGAAUAAGAUCGGCUCACUCCGUGCCAACAGCCGCGGUAAUACGGAGGAUCCGCGCGUUAUCCGGAUUUAUUGGGGUUAAAGGGGUCGUAAAUGGGUUGUUAAGUCAGUUGUGAAAGUUUGCGGCUCAACCGUAAAAUUGCAAUUGUUACUGGCAGUCUGGAGUACAGUUGAGGUAGGCGGAAUUCGUGGUGUAGCGGUGAAAUGCUUAGAUAUCACGAAGAACUCCGAUUGCGAAGGCAGCUUACUAAACUGCCACUGACAUUGAUGCUCGAAAGUGUGGGUAUCAAACAGGAUUAGAUACCCCUGUAGUC